rnacentral:rRNA from 1 species
AGUGAACGCUGGCGGUAGGCCUAACACAUGCAAGUCGAACGGCAGCACAGUAAGAGCUUGCUCUUACGGGUGGCGAGUGGCGGACGGGUGAGGAAUACAUCGGAAUCUACUUUUUCGUGGGGGAUAACGUAGGGAAACUUACGCUAAUACCGCAUACGACCUACGGGUGAAAGCAGGGGAUCUUCGGACCUUGCGCGAUUGAAUGAGCCGAUGUCGGAUUAGCUAGUUGGCGGGGUAAAGGCCCACCAAGGCGACGAUCCGUAGCUGGUCUGAGAGGAUGAUCAGCCACACUGGAACUGAGACACGGUCCAGCCUCCUACGGGAGGCAGCAGUGGGAAAUAUUGGACAAUGGGCGGAAGCCUGAACCAGCCAUACCGCGUGGGUGAAGAAGGCCUUCGGGUUGUAAAGCCCUUUUGUUGGGAAAGAAAAGAAGCAGGUUAAUACCCCGCUGUUCUGACGGUACCCAAAGAAUAAGCACCGGCUAACUUCGU